rnacentral:rRNA from 1 species
AUUGAACGCUGGCGGCAGGCCUAACACAUGCAAGUCGAGCGAGCGGCGGACGGGUGAGUAAUGUCUGGGAAACUGCCUUAUAGAGCGGGAUAACUACUGGAAAUGGUAGCUAAUACCGCAUACCAUUAGCUGUGCCCAGGUGGGCUUAGCUAGUAGGUGGGGUAACGGCUCACCUAGGCGACGAUCCCUAGCUGGUCUGAGAGGAUGACCAGCCACAAUGGAACUGAGACACGGUCCAGACUCCUACGGGAGGCAGCAGUGGGGAAUAUUGCACAAUGGGCGCAAGCCUGAUGAAGCCAUGCCGCGUGAGUGAUGAAGGCCUGCGGGUUGUAAAGCACUUUCAGCGGGGAGGCGGUACCCGCAGAAGAAGCACCGGCUAACUCCGUGCCAGCCGCCGCGGUAAUAC